rnacentral:rRNA from 1 species
UUUAUGGAGAGUUUGAUCCUGGCUCAGGAUGAACGCUGGCGGCGUGCCUAAUACAUGCAAGUCGAGCGAACGGACGAGAAGCUUGCUUCUCUGAUGUUAGCGGCGGACGGGUGAGUAACACGUGGAUAACCUACCUAUAAGACUGGGAUAACUUCGGGAAACCGGAGCUAAUACCGGAUAAUAUUUUGAACCGCAUGGUUCAAAAGUGAAAGACGGUCUUGCUGUCACUUAUAGAUGGAUCCGCGCUGCAUUAGCUAGUUGGUAAGGUAACGGCUUACCAAGGCAACGAUGCAUAGCCGACCUGAGAGGGUGAUCGGCCACACUGGAACUGAGACACGGUCCAGACUCCUACGGGAGGCAGCAGUAGGGAAUCUUCCGCAAUGGGCGAAAGCCUGACGGAGCAACGCCGCGUGAGUGAUGAAGGUCUUCGGAUCGUAAAGCUCUGUUAUUAGGGAAGAACAUAUGUGUAAGUAACUGUGCACAUCUUGACGGUACCUAAUCAGAAAGCCACGGCUAACUACGUGCCAGCAGCCGCGGUAAUACGUAGGUGGCAAGCGUUAUCCGGAAUUAUUGGGCGUAAAGCGCGCGUAGGCGGUUUUUUAAGUCUGAUGUGAAAGCCCACGGCUCAACCGUGGAGGGUCAUUGGAAACUGGAAAACUUGAGUGCAGAAGAGGAAAGUGGAAUUCCAUGUGUAGCGGUGAAAUGCGCAGAGAUAUGGAGGAACACCAGUGGCGAAGGCGACUUUCUGGUCUGUAACUGACGCUGAUGUGCGAAAGCGUGGGGAUCAAACAGGAUUAGAUACCCUGGUAGUCCACGCCGUAAACGAUGAGUGCUAAGUGUUAGGGGGUUUCCGCCCCUUAGUGCUGCAGCUAACGCAUUAAGCACUCCGCCUGGGGAGUACGACCGCAAGGUUGAAACUCAAAGGAAUUGACGGGGACCCGCACAAGCGGUGGAGCAUGUGGUUUAAUUCGAAGCAACGCGAAGAACCUUACCAAAUCUUGACAUCCUUUGACAACUCUAGAGAUAGAGCUUUCCCCUUCGGGGGACAAAGUGACAGGUGGUGCAUGGUUGUCGUCAGCUCGUGUCGUGAGAUGUUGGGUUAAGUCCCGCAACGAGCGCAACCCUUAAGCUUAGUUGCCAUCAUUAAGUUGGGCACUCUAAGUUGACUGCCGGUGACAAACCGGAGGAAGGUGGGGAUGACGUCAAAUCAUCAUGCCCCUUAUGAUUUGGGCUACACACGUGCUACAAUGGACAAUACAAAGGGCAGCGAAACUGUGAGGUCAAGCAAAUCCCAUAAAGUUGUUCUCAGUUCGGAUUGUAGUCUGCAACUCGACUACAUGAAGCUGGAAUCGCUAGUAAUCGUAGAUCAGCAUGCUACGGUGAAUACGUUCCCGGGUCUUGUACACACCGCCCGUCACACCACGAGAGUUUGUAACACCCGAAGCCGGUGGAGUAACCUUUUAGGAGCUAGCCGUCGAAGGUGGGACAAAUGAUUGGGGUGAAGUCGUAACAAGGUAGCCGUAUCGGAAGGUGCGGCUGGAUCACCUCCUUUCU